CUGACAAGAAAUUACUACUUGCUCAACAAAUCUCUUCUUUAAACAAAACACUGUGACCAUAAAAUUGCUGGAUGCUAAAUAUUAAUUAAAUAAAUACAAAUUAUAUUUUUGUUGACUCUUUACCUGCUAAGUAUAUAGUAAAAAUAAGCUUCAUUGAAUCUGUGUAUUUUGCACAAGCUGCUGCAGUAUUGAUUGAAAAUUCUGUAUUGUCAAAGACAAAGAACGUUUGGUGUGAGUUCCACCGCAUUUGGUUGCUUUCUCAAGGGACACUAACGAUUCUGUUUCCCUUCUUCUUUUUUCUCUAUUUCUCUUUCUCACCCUCUCUCCCUCUCUCUUUCUUUCAGCCAAAGAGAAAGAAGAGAUAUAAAUGGUGUGGUGUUGCCUCUUUAUGUUGAGAGCAGCGAACGUGACGCCUCCCAGACGGGGAGAGAUGGCAAACCCUAAUAAUACCAACCCAUACAAUGACUCUGACAGCCCAGCUAUAAAGCAAUCAGGGUCCUAGGCAUUCCAAAUCUCUUUAACGCCCACCCUACAACAGUCUGGAAGAUGGGUGGCUGACCUGAGAGCUGUCAAUCAUGCUGCCGUACCUGCUGGAGCCUGGGCGGAGUAGAGCCGGGGGCAUGCAGUCCAUCAGAUCUGUUUUCACACUCCCCACACUAGCACUGCAAGCGUAACCAAAAAGACAAAAAAAACGCCCCACUGCCCUACUCUUAAUUAGGGAGUGUGGGUAAGACUGAGGUUUGUUUGGUUUUAGAUGGAGAAGGGGAGGGCAAAAGAUACAGGGGAGCGCCGAAUCCCGUGGAGACAGAGAAUAACCUUUUCCCUUGAUUUUGGAAUAAGGCAUUGAUUUGUCAUGCUGUUUUGUACAGGCGAGAGCUCUCCCAGUGGUGCGCUACAAGCUUGGAAGGAGGCAAAGAGACAGCUACGCGGAGAAAAGGAGAAACGUUAAAGCUAGUUCAUUAUCCGCUUGUAGCUCAUUCAUGCAAAUAGAUCACUGUGAUACUGUGGUUAUUAAUGGCUUUCUCCUGUUUCCUCCAGGGUCUUCCCAUCUGAAGCUCACCGGCUGAAAAGCUUCUCAGCUACUUUUCUUCUUUCACCCACCUACCUUUCGACCAAAGCAGUGCAAAGAAUAGCAGCUGAUGUGGAGAAAUGUGUGAUGCUUCAAGACUCUCUGAAGCUGAUUAUAUUAGGUGCACCCAGUGGCUUUUGACUAGGCCUAUUCGAGGGUCACAUGGUUGUGAAUUCAUACCUCAACUUUGCGGCUGGAUUUUCAGUCUUAUUACAACUUCAGUCUGGCGUCCCGGGAGCAGGCGUCUUUUGCACACUUUAAUUAAUUUCAAAGAUGUUUUGUUGGAAUCACAACACUCACUGGAUACAAGACGGAUACAAAGAGGCAAAACAAGUGGAAAGGUCUCAGAGAAGAGGACAACCCUCAUGUGUGUGCUCAUCUCAGAAAGUUGAUGGACUUUCAGUAUGUAUUUAUUAAAUUGUCUUUUGCAGGAAUAUUCUAAAUUUAAUAUAACAUAAGCUCAAACAACAGAAUUUGUGGUAUAAUGUUG